GACAGUUAUCAACGUCAGUAAGGAUACUGUUUAUUUGUGGGACCCUCUUAGUCAUCGCAUUCGCGAUGAUGAUUGGAAACAUGUUGUAGAAAUGCUCCUCGUCAGCCGGAUAGUAACCAAUGCGGUUUCUAUGUCAUGGCUUACCUGAAGACUUUAAUUGAGAACAUGCCGGACAUUGAUGAUAAAGAUUCUGUUCAAACACUGUUCCAACAAGUUGAAUAUGACAAAGCGGU